rnacentral:rRNA from 1 species
CGGCGAGUGAAGCGGCAACAGCUCAAAUUUGAAAUCUGGCGUCUUUGGCGUCCGAGUUGUAAUUUGCAGAGGGCGCUUUGGCAUUGGCAGCGGUCCAAGUUCCUUGGAACAGGACGUCACAGAGGGUGAGAAUCCCGUACGUGGUCGCUAGCCUUUACCGUGUAAAGCCCCUUCGACGAGUCGAGUUGUUUGGGAAUGCAGCUCUAAAUGGGAGGUAAAUUUCUUCUAAAGCUAAAUACUGGCCAGAGACCGAUAGCGCACAAGUAGAGUGAUCGAAAGAUGAAAAGCACUUUGGAAAGAGAGUUAAAAAGCACGUGAAAUUGUUGAAAGGGAAGCGCUUGCAGCCAGACUUGCCUGUAGUUGCUCAUCCGGGUUUUUACCCGGUGCACUCUUCUACGGGCAGGCCAGCAUCAGUUUGGGCGGUUGGAUAAAGGUCUCUGUCAUGUACCUCCUCUCGGGGAGAUCUUAUAGGGGAGACGACAUGCAACCAGCCUGGACUGAGGUCCGCGCAUCUGCUAGGAUGCUGGCGUAAUGGCUGUAAGCGGCCCGUCUUGAAACACGGACCAAGGAGUCUAACAUCUAUGCGAGUGUUUGGGUGUCAAGCCCGAACGCGUAAUGAAAGUGAACGGAGGUGGGAACCUUUCGGGGUGCACCAUCGACCGAUCCUGAUGUCUUCGGAUGGAUUUGAGUAAGAGCAUA